CUAAAAAUAGCUAAAUCAAAAGCAUCAGAAUUUUAAUCUGGGGAUGAUUAAAUAAAAUCUUUUUAGU
rnacentral:tRNA from 1 species